UGGUUCAAGUGGACAUGACCA
rnacentral:siRNA from 1 species